AUGCAUGUUCUAUUUUAUUGUUCCGAGACAUAUGAUGAUAGCAUUGAGAAUGAGAAAUCUUUGAAAAAUGCACGUAUUAUUAAGGAGUUCUGGAAUGAUUACUAUGCUAAGCUAUUGGAUAUUGACAAAACGAAAAAGACUUCUAAUGUUGAUAUGUAUCAGGAUGAUGUUAGAAAGUUGUUGAUUAAUGAAAAGAAGAAUCAAAAUGGUGUGUUUUUCGAUACUGAAUUAAUAUAUUUACAGAAUCAAACUGCAAAUUGCACAAUGAAGUUCGAUGAGGAUAAUCUAUUUAAAGUAACUCCUAACAUAGUAAAGUUCUUGAUUAAUAAAGAUCAGCCUAACGCUAAGCAAUAUCUAAAGGGUUGCCUACCAAGUAGCUUACCUAUGCUUAAGAUGUUUGGUAUCUAUACGCUUGAGGCUAUCAUGAUUCAUGUACUAGGCUUGGUAUUCAACACUCUUCAGGAAUCAUCCGCAGUUAAGGCAGCUAGAUUUAUAGAUCAACUUAAUUCAACUGUACGAGAACAAGCAAGGUUUCUACAAUACAAAGCACCAGGUAGUGGUAAGGUGGAAGCAGUACUCACUAGUAAGGUAGAAUCAGUUAAGGAUGUUGUUCAGCCCAAAGGUGCUAGCAAAAAAGAGAAAAAGAAAAAAUGCAGUGUCAUUAUGAUAUCGGGAAAUACUUGCUCCAAUUCAUGA
rnacentral:rRNA from 1 species